AAAUACAUAAAUAGCCCCUUAAAUUUGCCAUAAUUUUUCAUUUAGGCAACUCAACUAAGAGUGUUACUUGUUAAACACCUAAUAUAUGUGUAAACUGUGCCUAUUAAGCACUGCACGCUGAUAUGCCACAGAAUGUGAAUCUUACACCUUCUUAGACACGCGAUUAGUGUGUAUAGAUAUUUUGUGUAAAAUUAACAUUGCCUCCCAUCUUCAUCUUCAUUUCUAUCUCCCUCACUACCCACUUUAUACCUACGGACAUUAUCAAUUACAGCUGUAGCAAGAAAAAAAAAAAAGUGUUUCAUUUGAAUAUAAACAAGGGGAAAAGACAGCCACAAAAGCAAUUUUUCUCGUUCAUCGAAAUUCUUCUAAGACAAACAAACCUGAGGAGGUAGGCACUUUGUACAGGUACAGACGCACAGUUUGGUGAUCCACCAGUUUAGGAUACCCUCUUCUGCUGUUUGGAGUGCUCCUCUUAUUCCGGAGCCUACAUUUUGGUAUAUAUUCGGUCUUUGCAUAUGUAUAUAUUUGUUCAGGGGUACGGUGGGGCCCUGUCCCACCAUAUGAUACGGUUGGUCUGUUUAGAGGUCUGUAGACGUACAUGUGGGUUGUGCCUACUUCUGUUCAGAUGUGUUUGUAUGAUCCUACUCGUUAUGGCAGCCGUGUCGGCGUGCAUUUUGUAUAUGUUUUGGGGCCGUUGUGCCAUUUGAUAGCCUUGUCGGCUUUUGAUAUAUGUAUACGCAUCUGGUUGUGCUGAAAUGUGGGCGAUGUAUAUUCCGCCAACUCUUUUGGUUUUGAUAUGAUAUUUUGUACAUGAAAUCGUGUAAGAUAAUAUUUGUUUCUAGCUCUGUUUAAAAUGAUGAAUAUGAAGUCUGAGUUAAGCGAUAAAAUGACGAUUUGGUUUGUAUGUCUGUUUGGGUGUCCAAGUAGGGCACCAGUCGCGGCUCACGGGGCUGGGUCGUGACAAGUAUUUCUCAGCAUAUGCAUGAUAUACAUACAUUUUCUUUAGCCUGACCACUUGGUCAGUGAGACAUUUUCUUUAGCCUGGCCACUUGGUCAGUGAGACAGAUAUGUCUGGCCCACGGGUCAGUGAGACAGAUAUUCCUGGCCUACGAGUCAGUGAGACAGAUUGCCUAGCCGACGGGUCAGUGAGAUUUUACAGUUGCCUGGCCACUUGGUCAGUGAGAUUUUACAGUUGUCUGGCCACUUGGUCAGUGAGAUAUAUGAUAUUAUUGUUAUAUUGCAUUACAUACGAGACAGAUCAGGUGAGAUAUUUAGGGUAUUCCUUGGCCUCCAGAUUAUGAUGUUUUAGUUCAGUUUCAAUUAUUCUGUUGCCUUACAUACUCGGUACAUUUUUUUGUACUGACAUCUGUUUACUUGUGGACGCUACAUUCAUGCCGCAGGUUCAGGUAGCCAGACAGGCGAUCCAGCUCAGUAGGUUUUCCACUCAGCUACAGUCAGUGCGCUCCACUUGGUUCGGAGUUGCACUUCCUUUUGGUGUGCUAUUUUGAUAUGUAUAUACAGGUAUGACGGGGCUUAGUCCUGUCCUUUCUAUAGCUCGUGCUCCAUAGAAGUCUGUAGACAGUUGUAUAUAGUUGGGAUAUUAUGUAGCCUUGUCGGCUUUUAUUUUGUUGUGCAACAUAUGUAGCGGCCUAGUCGGCUUGCGCUGUUAUCCUCAGCACGUAUGUAUAUAUCUAUAUGCUGGUUGUGAGUUCUUGA